rnacentral:rRNA from 1 species
AGUGAACGCUGGCGGUAGGCCUAACACAUGCAAGUCGAACGGCAGCACAGUAAGAGCUUGCUCUUACGGGUGGCGAGUGGCGGACGGGUGAGGAAUACAUCGGAAUCUACUCUUUCGUGGGGGAUAACGUAGGGAAACUUACGCUAAUACCGCGUACGACCUACGGGUGAAAGCAGGGGAUCUUCGGACCUUGCGCGAUUGAAUGAGCCGAUGUCGGAUUAGCUGGUUGGCGGGGUAAAGGCCCACCAAGGCGACGAUCCGUAGCUGGUCUGAGAGGAGGAUAAGCCACACUGGAACUGGGACGCGCUCAAGACUCCUACGGGAGGCAGCAGUGGGGAAUAUUGGACAAUGGGGGCAAGCCUGAUCCAGCCCUACCGCGUGGGUGAAGAAGGCCUUCGGGCUGUAAAGCCCUUUUGUUGGGAAAGAAAAGCAGCAGGUUAAUACCCCGCUGUUCUGACGGUACCCAAAGAAUAAGCACCGGCUAACUUCGUG